AGUGAACGCUGGCGGUAGGCCUAACACAUGCAAGUCGAACGGCAGCACAGUAAGAGCUUGCUCUUACGGGUGGCGAGUGGCGGACGGGUGAGGAAUACAUCGGAAUCUACUUUUUCGUGGGGGAUAACGUAGGGAAACUUACGCUAAUACCGCAUACGACCUACGGGUGAAAGCAGUGGAUCUUCGGACCUUGCGCGAUUGAAUGAGCCGAUGUCGGAUUAGCUAGUUGGCGGGGUAAAGGCCCACCAAGGCGACGAUCCGUAGCUGGUCUGAGAGGAUGAUCAGCCACACUGGAACUGAGACACGGUCCAGACUCCUACGGGAGGCAGCAGUGGGGAAUAUUGGACAAUGGGCGCAAGCCUGAUCCAGCCAUACCGCGUGGGUGAAGAAGGUCUUCGGGUUGUAAAGCCCUGUUGUUGGGAAAGAAAAGCAGCAUGUGAAUAUCCCGCUGUUCUGACGGUACCCAAAGAAUAAGCAACGGCUAACUUCGUG
rnacentral:rRNA from 1 species